rnacentral:rRNA from 1 species
AUUGAACGCUGGCGGCAUGCCUUACACAUGCAAGUCGAACGGUAACGGGCCUUCGGGUGCCGACGAGUGGCGAACGGGUGAGUAAUGUAUCGGAACGUACCUUUCAGUGGGGGAUAACGUAGCGAAAGUUACGCUAAUACCGCAUAUUCUGUGAGCAGGAAAGCAGGGGAUCGCAAGACCUUGCGCUGAUUGAGCGGCCGAUAUCAGAUUAGCUAGUUGGUGAGGUAAAGGCUCACCAAGGCGACGAUCUGUAGCGGGUCUGAGAGGAUGAUCCGCCACACUGGAACUGAGACACGGUCCAGACUCCUACGGGAGGCAGCAGUGGGGAAUUUUGGACAAUGGGGCAACCCUGAUCCAGCCAUGCCGCGUGAGUGAAGAAGGCC